rnacentral:rRNA from 1 species
CACGUAGGGCGCGAGCGUUGUCCGGAAUUAUUGGGCGUAAAGAGCUCGUAGGCGGCCUGUUGCGUCCGCUGUGAAAACCCGAGGCUCAACCUCGGGACGUCGACGGAAACCAUCUGGCUAGAGUCCGGAAGAGGAGAGCGGAAUUCCCGGUGUAGCGGUGAAAUGCGCAGAUAUCGGGAAGAACACCCGUGGCGAAGGCGGCUCUCUGGGCCGAUACUGACGCUGAGGCUCGAAAGCAUGGGGAGCAAACAGG